rnacentral:lncRNA from 13 species
UUAAAAUUUUAAAAUACACAAUGAGAAGAAAACAAACGACUUAGCGAUUCGGAAUUAAAUUACUUCGAAAAAAAUAUAUUCCUCGCGCAUUAUGGAAUAAAAUCAAAGUAAAUAUACGUAUAUAGAAUAUGUUUGCGCAAUUAUUGAGCGAACUAUGAUUUUAUCAGUCUAAUACGCGAUAGCUACACAAAAAUUCGAUAAGGCGCUCCUUCGAAUCUUCCUCAGCUUCGUUAUUCGAGACAACUCUUGUGAUAACGUUUAAAAAAAAAUUCUCUUUUACAACCUACAGAAAACAAAUAGGUAAUCCAAUAGCUACUCUCAUCACAUCGUCGUCGUAUGUAAAGACGGCUUCGUCGAAUUAAAGCGACACAAGCAAAUUUACACACAGAUCAACAGUUGCAGAUUGCGAUCGAGAAAGCGCACGCGGAAAUAUGAGUAUUUUUUUCCGCAUGGUCGGCUCGACACGGCGCGGCGCGGUACGGUGGUGACUCUUCAGACGCCAUGGCUAUCAGAGAAGAAGAAAAAAAAGAAAAAGAAGCGAGAGACUGUCGCAAAGAGCGCGCACGACUGACGAUUGUCGAAGCGAUAUCGAAGAAAUUAAGAAUCGUAUAAGACUCUAAAGCCAAGAAAAAGUGAAGAUUCGAAAUGGAAAGAUUCUAAGACUCGGUAAAAAGAUUUACGAUUGCGGAAAAUGAGGAGUAGCAUCCGACUUUCACAAAUUCACGAGGUUCAAUAUUUGUAUUCGCGCGUUUUUAAUCACGUUAAUCACACAUACGUCGCGACGCUUACGUCAAUUAUAUUGCAAGUGUCGGCGUACUCGACGAGCAGCUCAACUACCUAAUUUAAUCGUAUAUUGGCCUCUUUUCGCGCUUAUAUAAUUGCAAUUAUAUAUAUAAAUGUUAUCCUU